rnacentral:rRNA from 1 species
UACGAAGGGGGCUAUCGUUGUUCGGAAUUACUGGGCGUAAAGGGCGCGUAGGCGGUGCUGUAAGUCAGGCGUGAAAUCCCCGGGCUCAACCUGGGAAUUGCGUUUGAUACUGCGGCGCUGGAAUGCGGGAGAGGAUGGCGGAAUUCCCAGUGUAGAGGUGAAAUUCGUAGAUAUUGGGAAGAACACCGGUGGCGAAGGCGGCCAUCUGGCCCGUAAUUGACGCUGAGGUGCGAAAGCUAGGGGAGCAAACAGG